CAGAGGGUGCAAGCGUUGUUCGGAAUUAUUGGGCGUAAAGCGCGUGUAGGCGGCUUUGCAAGUCGGGUGUGUAAGCCCUCAGCUCAACUGAGGAAGUGCGCCCGAAACUGCAGAGCUUGAGUACCGGAGAGGAUGGUGGAAUUCCCCAAGUAGAGGUGAAAUUCGUAGAUAUGGGGAGGAACACCGGUGGCGAAGGCGACCAUCUGGACGGAUACUGACGCUGAGACGCGAAAGCGUGGGUAGCAAACAGGAUUAGAUACCCUGGUAGUCCACGCCGUAAACGAUGAGAACUAGGUGUCGUGGGUGUUGACCCCCGCGGUGCCGUAGCCAACGCAUUAAGUUCUCCGCCUGGGAAGUACGGCCGCAAGGCUA
rnacentral:rRNA from 1 species